CAUCUGCGGCCCAUCGACAAGAAGCCUAAACGGAAACCCUAAUCAGUCGAAACGCUCUCCUUCAUGUUCUUCGUUCAUCUUCGAUCGGCGCAUGGACGAUCCAGUUUCUGUAACGGUGUAAUGUGAUUUAAUCGUCUUAAAUCGUCUUCAUUCGUCGUCCCACUACGAUCGUCUGCUAGAUAGUUUAUAAAUAUGCUGCAAUCUCACCGAUGCAUAUCGCGAUAUCUACACUUUUAUAAUCUCACAUCUCACUCAUACUCAAAUCUUACCCCUCACCUCUCUCAAUGGCUAUGACAAAGGUUUUCUUUUCCGAUGUCUGGGCGGUGCUCAUUCGUUGUGGAGGGGAGACUGCUUCGAUUUUGGGAGGUUAAGAACGUUAAGAGUGGUGGGGAUCUAAUGUGGAUGGAUCUGCUUAUGGUUGAUGACUUGAUGUCAACGUUAGUUAUUCAUUAUGGUUUCUUCUAUGUAUGAGUCGUUAUGUGUUAGUUUUUUCAUCGUAUUGUUAUUAUUCUUUGUGAGCUCUAGGCUGUUUAUAAUAGCCUGUCUAACUCUUCCUUAUAUCUCAUCUGAUUGAAUCUUCAUAAUUCUGUGAUCCACGGCUUUAUCCCCGCUGGUCGUAGAUAUCAUGAAUGUUCAGUUCAUCAAUGUGUGGGCUUAUUGCGUUUUUGAGAUAACUGGGUUGCAGCACAUACUCUCGAGGUUUAAGGAAAAAGGGAGCGUUUAAUCACAUCCCUCAAAUCCCAGAAGGAAGAACUGGAGGCAUGACUCAUCAAGGAGAAGAUAUAAACUCUAAAGGAAGAGUUAACAGAAUAACAGAGACUGAUACGAGAAACAUUGAGUUAUACAAGUGUGUGCCGAGUCAACUUGCAGCGGAACAGUCGAGGUGUUUCAACUUAGAGCAAAAGGCAAAGCUCUGGUAGCGUCUGGAGAUGGCUUGCUGGAACUCUUCCGCCAAACACAUGAAUCUCACAUGAGUGAGUGGAAGUGGACAAAGCCACUCAAGAACUGAAGAUAUCAAAAAUGCCUUUGCCAAUGGAGUCUCAUGGGACUGAUCUUCCACGUCUUCUAAUGGUCUUUGCUUAAGGUUCUGUCUCAGUCAAUGGUAUGGCUUGCAGUUGAACUAUGGCAUUCAUGUUUUACUUUUUUUUGUUUUUACAUUCAUGUUUAGUUUCUAGAGUGAGAGGGAGACAAAAUUGUGAAACAGUCAAGAGAGUUGAAAGCUUCACCUGGAUUUACCUGCACUUUCAUGUGUUAUGGUAGAUAACGACAAACAAAGUUUACUUUCUUUGCUUCGGUUACAAAAAAACAAGAGCGUGUUAACAAGUCAAUAAAGAUUGACACUUGGAAGAACUUUUAUUUUCAUAGAGUAGUUAGAAAUCUUCCUACUUUCUUCUCAUUCUCACUACGUCAAAGUCUUGGACUUUGUCUCUGCUAACAUAGUUUUAUCAUUUUAUGUAUAAGUGGAUAACAAGUCAUUUGCAAAAAUAAAUAUUGUUCCUUUUCAGUU